GGUUAAGCGACUAAGCGUACACGGUGGAUGCCCUGGCAGUCAGAGGCGAUGAAGGACGUGCUAAUCUGCGAUAAGCGUCGGUAAGGUGAUAUGAACCGUUAUAACCGGCGAUUUCCGAAUGGGGAAACCCAGUGUGUUUCGACACACUAUCAUUAACUGAAUCCAUAGGUUAAUGAGGCGAACCGGGGGAACUGAAACAUCUAAGUACCCCGAGGAAAAGAAAUCAACCGAGAUUCCCCCAGUAGCGGCGAGCGAACGGGGAGCAGCCCAGAGCCUGAAUCAGUGUGUGUGUUAGUGGAAGCGUCUGGAAAGGCGCGCGAUACAGGGUGACAGCCCCGUACACAAAAAUGCACAUGCUGUGAGCUCGAUGAGUAGGGCGGGACACGUGGUAUCCUGUCUGAAUAUGGGGGGACCAUCCUCCAAGGCUAAAUACUCCUGACUGACCGAUAGUGAACCAGUACCGUGAGGGAAAGGCGAAAAGAACCCCGGCGAGGGGAGUGAAAAAGAACCUGAAACCGUGUACGUACAAGCAGUGGGAGCACGCUUAGGCGUGUGACUGCGUACCUUUUGUAUAAUGGGUCAGCGACUUAUAUUCUGUAGCAAGGUUAACCGAAUAGGGGAGCCGAAGGGAAACCGAGUCUUAACUGGGCGUUAAGUUGCAGGGUAUAGACCCGAAACCCGGUGAUCUAGCCAUGGGCAGGUUGAAGGUUGGGUAACACUAACUGGAGGACCGAACCGACUAAUGUUGAAAAAUUAGCGGAUGACUUGUGGCUGGGGGUGAAAGGCCAAUCAAACCGGGAGAUAGCUGGUUCUCCCCGAAAGCUAUUUAGGUAGCGCCUCGUGAAUUCAUCUCCGGGGGUAGAGCACUGUUUCGGCAAGGGGGUCAUCCCGACUUACCAACCCGAUGCAAACUGCGAAUACCGGAGAAUGUUAUCACGGGAGACACACGGCGGGUGCUAACGUCCGUCGUGAAGAGGGAAACAACCCAGACCGCCAGCUAAGGUCCCAAAGUCAUGGUUAAGUGGGAAACGAUGUGGGAAGGCCCAGACAGCCAGGAUGUUGGCUUAGAAGCAGCCAUCAUUUAAAGAAAGCGUAAUAGCUCACUGGUCGAGUCGGCCUGCGCGGAAGAUGUAACGGGGCUAAACCAUGCACCGAAGCUGCGGCAGCGACGCU
rnacentral:rRNA from 1 species